GACGAACGCUGGCGGCGUGCUUAGCACAUGCAAGUCGAACGGAAAGGCCCUGCUUUUGUGGGGUGCUCGAGUGGCGAACGGGUGAGUAACACGUGAGUAACCUGCCCUUGACUUUGGGAUAACUUCAGGAAACUGGGGCUAAUACCGGAUAGGAGCUCCUGCUGCAUGGUGGGGGUUGGAAAGUUUCGGCGGUUGGGGAUGGGCUCGCGGCUUAUCAGCUUGUUGGUGGGGUAGUGGCUUACCAAGGCUUUGACGGGUAGCCGGCCUGAGAGGGUGACCGGCCACAUUGGGACUGAGAUACGGCCCAGACUCCUACGGGAGGCAGCAGUGGGGAAUAUUGCACAAUGGGCGGAAGCCUGAUGCAGCAACGCCGCGUGCGGGAUGACGGCCUUCGGGUUGUAAACCGCUUUCGCCUGUGACGAAGCGUGAGUGACGGUAAUGGGUAAAGAAGCACCGGCUAACUACGUG
rnacentral:rRNA from 1 species